AGAGUUUGAUUCUGGCUCAGGAUGAACGCUAGCUACAGGCUUAACACAUGCAAGUCAGGGGCAGCAUGAUCUAGCUUGCUAAGAUGAUGGCGACCGGCGCACGGGUGAGUAACGCGUAUCCAACCUUCCCCUUAGUAGGGCAUAGCCCGGCGAAAGUCGGAUUAAUACCCUAUGUUUUCCUUGGAUGGCAUCUGAUGAGGAAGAAAGAUUUAUCGCUAAGGGAUGGGGAUGCGUCUGAUUAGGUAGUCGGCGGGGUAACGGCCCACCGAGCCAACGAUCAGUAGGGGUUCUGAGAGGAAGGUCCCCCACAUUGGAACUGAGACACGGUCCAAACUCCUACGGGAGGCAGCAGUGAGGAAUAUUGGUCAAUGGACGAGAGUCUGAACCAGCCAAGUAAGCGUGCAGGAUGACGGCCCUAUGGGUUGUAAACUGCUUUUGUCGGGGAAUAAAGUUCACUACGUGUAGUGUUUUGUAUGUACCCGAAGAAUAAGGACCGGCUAAUUCCGUGCCAGCCGCAGC
rnacentral:rRNA from 1 species